CCUACGGGCGGCAGCAGUGGGGAAUAUUGGACAAUGGGGGGAACCCUGAUCCAGCCAUGCCGCGUGUGUGAAGAAGGCCCUCGGGUUGUAAAGCACUUUCAGUGAGGAAGAACGCCUGGUGGUUAAUACCCAUCAGGAAAGACAUCACUCACAGAAGAAGCACCGGCUAACUCCGUGCCAGCAGCCGCGGUAAUACGGAGGGUGCGAGCGUUAAUCGGAAUUACUGGGCGUAAAGCGCGCGUAGGUGGCUUGAUAAGCCGGUUGUGAAAGCCCCGGGCUCAACCUGGGAACGGCAUCCGGAACUGUCAAGCUAGAGUGCAGGAGAGGAAGGUAGAAUUCCCGGUGUAGCGGUGAAAUGCGUAGAGAUCGGGAGGAAUACCAGUGGCGAAGGCGGCCUUCUGGACUGACACUGACACUGAGGUGCGAAAGCGUGGGUAGCAAACAGGAUUAGAUACUCGUGUAGUC
rnacentral:rRNA from 1 species